rnacentral:rRNA from 1 species
UACGUAGGGUGCGAGCGUUAAUCGGAAUUACUGGGCGUAAAGCGUGCGCAGGCGGUUUUGCAAGACCGAUGUGAAAUCCCCGGGCUCAACCUGGGAACUGCAUUUGUGACUGCACGGCUGGAGUGCGGCAGAGGGGGAUGGAAUUCCGCGUGUAGCAGUGAAAUGCGUAGAUAUGCGGAGGAACACCGAUGGCGAAGGCAAUCCCCUGGGCCUGCACUGACGCUCAUGCACGAAAGCGUGGGGAGCAAACAGG